GUAUAAAUUAACCAAUUUAUGCCUUCCUCUCCAUCUUGCCUAUGAGAAGAUAUAAAAUCAAAGUACAUCAAUCCGGAAAUACAAUGUUGACAUUUACCAGCAUCAAAAUUGGUUCUCUCACAUUUUAAAGAAAAUUUCAAAUGAGUCUAUGGAGCUUUAAAACAUUUAUUAUUUUAACCAAUAUUGAAGUGACAUUUUGCACAUAAUGAACACUAAGGAAUCUCAUCUGAUUCAGAAGAGGACCGGGGCUACCUGAAGGUCUUCCCUGAAGAUGUGCUAAGGAACUUAGGAUUUGGAAAUGGAAAUGAAUUUAAGGUUGACUUAAUCUAACAUUCUGAUUUGACUCUGGAGGCAGAAUAACAUAGGGAGGUCCACCGUCAAAGCAGCUGGUUUUUAUACCCAGUAUCUAUUGCUUAAUCACCAUGCAUCAAUGGUGAUCAAACAGUGGUGAUCACAGGCUUGUUCUAAUUAUCUAUUGCUGUCUAUCUUGGUUUGCCUAAGACUGUUCCAGUUUUACCACUCAAAGUCCUGCAUCCCACAAAAGCCUUCAACUCUAAGCAAAAGGAAAGAUUGGCCAUCCACUAACAAAUCACUCCAAAACGUAGUGGCUAAAAAUACCGAUAUAUUAUUAUCUGUCAUAUUCUGUGGAUUGUCUGGAAUACGAUGGAUGGCUCUUGCUUCUAGUCUUUUGUUUUGCUGUGACAAGUGGUAGCUUCAGCUUAUCUGUAAAAUAAUGCCAAGUACCUAUGUCAUAGGUUGUUGCGAAGCUUCAUGAGUUAAAAGGUGUAAAGAAUUUAGCACACUGGCUAAUACACAAAAAUUAUAAAACAAGUUGAUCUGUUGAUAAAAGUAGAAUGAAGGAAAAGGGAGAGGGAAAUGAUAGCUGUAGUGAGGGGAGAGUAAAUCCGUGUUUCAGUGUUACUCUGGCAGCCAACAUUUAAUAGAUGCUUUACAUGCACAGUCUCAGCUAAUCUCUCAUCUACAUACACAGAACAGGCAUUACCAUUAUCUCCAUUUCAAACAUGAGGAAACUGCCAUUUUAAAAGUACAAUACCUCCCAAGGUCUCAUAGUAGUGGAGCUAAAAUUUAAACACGGACUUGUGUGUACAAAACCUAUGCUCCUUCCACCUCUGUGUCUGCUCUGCAGGAAACUGCAAAGCAAGCUCUUAAAAUUUUUUUCCUAAAAAUGUCACGUCACCAAGAAGAAUUAGCAAGGAUAGGGAUUAUUCUGCUGUAUUAAACAUUCAAAAUAUGGACCAAAAUAUGUGAAAAACAGUUUUCAAGAUGUCUAGUAGAAGAAAAGAGACCCAUGAAAGGAGGAGGAGAUGAAGUUAGCACUAUCAUGUCCUCAGUUUUCUACCUUGAGAGAAUUUCCAGCUCACAAAAAGACAGGGAGAACCCAGAGCCAUGAGAACUGGCUGGGUUGAGGAGGCAGAGCCGAAAGUCAGGAAAGAUAGCUUGAACCUUCAGGAGAGAGUACCACGGAGGAAAACGGCUGAACAGGAAGAAAACUCUAAAUGUUUGCAAAGGAUUCACCCCAAGCAUUCAGGUAGUUACCAGUCAGUGUACACAUACGAGAAAAUGACUGGAGGUCAAGGAGAGAACUACCUGAAAGGAUUAAUGGUAACAGUGCCUAUUGCCUACACAAGGACUGAAAUAGUGCAUAGAACCACCAACCAGGUUGGAAAAUCUUAUGAUUCAUGGGCAUUGGAUAGAGUAUACAGAAGGCUCUUGACUCAUUAGUGGGGACUAAUAAGCACUAGACAAACUGCUGCUCCAGUCUUGUCUGAACACGUCCGAAAUGCAAGAAACUGUUUUCUUGCAGGAAAAUAAUUAAACUGUUUUCAAUGACUGUAAUGCAUUUCAGAACAAAGCUCAAGAAUAUUGACAGAAAUACAAAAAUAUGCAAUGUCCAACCAGAUAAAAUUCAGAAUGUCUAAGUUUUAAUGCAAUAUUACAACCAUGCGAAAGGCAGGAAAACAUCACCCAUACCCAUAAUGAAAAGAAAACUUCCAUCUAAAUUAACCAGAACUGGCACAGAUGUGAUAAUUAGCACACAGGGAUAUCAAAACAGUUUUUACAACUAUAUUCCACGUAUUUGGAGAUAAGAAUAUUCCCUAGAGAUAAGGAAAACAAAACCGUGUUCUCCCUAAACCCCUUACCUUCAGCUGAAGAACCACACUCACUCUACUGAUUCAUUCUGGUCUCUCAGUAACUGGUCUUUCAGAUUUCCUCAACCAGUUUUGAGCUCUGCACUACAGCAUUGAAUCCGAUUCCAGCCAGGGGCUGUAUAGUCUCUUAGAGCUUGGCUGAGACUAUAUGCAAUGCAAUAAUAAAAGCCAGGAACUCUGCAAAUUAUGGUGCCAAUUAUAGAGGACUGAACAGAAUUUAAAAAUCUAAGUAUGUGCCAAAGUUAAGGAUAAAAAACUGUCCACAUGAAAGUGACAGUUCAAAUGUAAGAGGAACUAUCUCAAGAGAUUCCGUGGAGUGACCAGCACCCAGCUGCAGUGACUGUAUGGAAGCUUUUUAGGGCACACGCUGCUGUAUGCCCAGAAGCUUCAGAAAAUUGACUAGAAGUUGAUGACUGAAGGCCCUAGGAUUUUAGUCUU
rnacentral:lncRNA from 1 species